CCCUUUCCACAACGUUGGAGAUAAAGCUGGGCCUUGAGUCUGCGCCUGCAUAUUCCUACAGCUUCCCAGAGUCCUGUGGACAAUGACUGGGGAGACAAACCAUGCAGGAAACAACC
rnacentral:snoRNA from 8 species